rnacentral:rRNA from 1 species
AUUGAACGCUGGCGGCAUGCCUUACACAUGCAAGUCGAACGGCAGCACGGGUGCUUGCACCUGGUGGCGAGUGGCGAACGGGUGAGUAAUACAUCGGAACAUGUCCUGUAGUGGGGGAUAGCCCGGCGAAAGCCGGAUUAAUACCGCAUACGAUCCACGGAUGAAAGCGGGGGACCUUCGGGCCUCGCGCUAUAGGGUUGGCCGAUGGCUGAUUAGCUAGUUGGUGGGGUAAAGGCCUACCAAGGCGACGAUCAGUAGCUGGUCUGAGAGGACGACCAGCCACACUGGGACUGAGACACGGCCCAGAUUCCUACGGGAGGCAGCAGUGGGGAAUUUUGGACAAUGGGCGAAAGCCUGAUCCAGCAAUGCCGCGUGUGUGAAGAAGGCCUUCGGGUUGUAAAGCACUUUUGUCCGGAAAGAAAUCCUUGACUCUAAUACAGUCGGGGGAUGACGGUACCGGAAGAAUAAGCACCGGCUAACUACGUG